GCCUGGGUGGUGCAGUGGUAGAGCACGCGUGUAAGACUAAAAGCGGGCUCGACUCCUGCCUGAGGCC